UUCUCUGGUUGAUCCUGCCAGAGGCCACUGCUAUCAGAGUUCGAUUAAGCCAUGCGAGUUGAGAGGUGCAAGACCUCGGCAUACUGCUCAGUAACACGUGGACAACCUAACCUACAGAAGGGGAUAACCCCGGGAAACUGGGGAUAAUACCCUAUAGACUAUGGAUGCUGGAAUGCUCUGUAGCCGAAAGGUCCGCCGCUGUAGGAUGGGUCUGCGGCCGAUUAGGUUGUUGUUGGGGUAACGGCCCAACAAGCCUGUAAUCGGUACGGGUUGUGGGGGCAAGAGCCCGGAGAUGGAUUCUGAGACACGAAUCCAGGCCCUACGGGGCGCAGCAGGCGCGAAAACUUUACAAUGCGGGAAACCGUGAUAAGGGAACUCCGAGUGCCCGUAAACGCGGGCUGUCCAUCUGCUUAAAAAACAGGUGAAGAAAGGGCCGGGCAAGACCGGUGCCAGCCGCCGCGGUAAUACCGGCGGCUCGAGUGGUGGCCACUAUUACUGGGCUUAAAGCGUCCGUAGCUUGGUUGUUAAGUCUCUUGGGAAAUCUGUCGGCUUAACCGACAGGCGUUUAAGGGAUACUGGGCAAUCUAGGGACCGGGAGAGGUGAGAGGUACUUCAGGGGUAGGAGUGAAAUCCUGUAAUCCUUGGGGGACCACCUGUGGCGUAGGCGUCUCACCAGAACGGCUCCGACAGUGAGGGACGAAAGCUGGGGGAGCAAACCGGAUUAGAUACCCGGGUAGUCCCAGCCGUAAACGAUGCGCGUUAGGUGUAUCGGUGACCACGAGUCACCGAGGUGCCGAAGGGAAACCGUGAAACGUGCCGCCUGGGAAGUACGGUCGCAAGGCUGAAACUUAAAGGAAUUGGCGGGGGAGCAC
rnacentral:rRNA from 1 species